UUCCAAGUUCCCGGGAAGUGUCCUGUG
rnacentral:sRNA from 1 species